GCUCCUAUUCUCUUUUCUUCUCCUUCUCUCCAUUGCUCUCUCUAUUUACUUAUUUUCAUAACAAUAAGGAAGUUAACAAAUUUUCCUAAUAGAACUGCAGAGACAUAUAAACAAGAUGAAAAUAGCCAGAACAUAACAAGAAAGAUAACGAGAGAGAGGCUCACUACAACAAAUAAAGAACAUCCACAUCGAUCAAGUACUUUGAUCUGAUGGCUAAGGAAACCUUUUAUUUGAACAUCAAUAAAAAAUUUACUCAAUUGCAAGAACGAAUAUUUGAUGGAUUGAAUCUUGGAGCAAAAGAAAGGGAC